AUGGAGGCUCCGCUGACGGUGCAGAUUGUCGAGUUCAACACCAAGGUGAUGCAAGAGGAGCUGAAGAAGCUGGGGCUCAAGGUCAACCACCAUGAGGCCAACAUCACGUUCCUCAAGUCUGAGAUCUAUGCUAUCGAAGAGUCGAUUGCUGACCUGACAAUUAAACGUGGAAAGAAGGUUGUAGCUUCAAGUAAUGGUACAUCAGUUCAAGAAGCUGAACAGCGUACAAUUGAAAGCAUAUGUAAUCAGGACAAGACAGCAGCUUCGCUUAUAUGCCAGCUCAAGAAACGUCAUUCCACACAAAUAUCAACAAUGCCAAUGAUGAAAGAUAUCCUUGGUGUUGUGGCUACCUUAGGAAAAACAAAUGAUGAUAAUCUAAGCAGCCUACUCUCAGAGUACUUGGGAAUAGACAAUAUGCUUGGUCUCGUUUGCAAGACUUAUGAUGGCAUAAAGAGUCUUGAAACAUAUGGCACAGAAGGCAACAUUGAUAAGAAAAGUGGUAUUCAUGGACUGGGUGGCUCAAUUGGAAAGAUUCUGCAUGGGAGGUUUACCGUGUUUUGUCUUGAAAACAUAAGGCCAUUUUCUGGAGAAGUUGUGAUUGAUGAUCCACAAAGAUAUCUUAUGCUGCGUAAACCAAGGUUGCCUAACGGGGAGUCUCCUCCUGGUUUUCUUGGUUUCGCAGUAAAUAUGAUACUUAUGGACCAGGCAUACUUGAGUUGUCUCACACCCCAUGGCCAUGGUCUUAGGGAGACUUUGUUUUACAGUUUGUUUUCUCAUUUACAAGUUUAUAAGACUACAGCUGAUCUACGGCGUGCUAUUCCCUUCAUAAAUGAUGGUGCGGUUUCUCUAGAUGGUGGUAUAUUGAGGCCUAAUGGUUCAUUCUGCCUUGGUGAUAGGAAAGAUGUUGAAGUGAAAUUUACUGUAGCUUUAAGCUCUGGGGAUUCAAACACACCUGGAAGUAUCACUGAAAUGGAAGAGCAAGUCAAACUGAAGAACUGGGAGAAGGAAAGGUUUGUUGAGGAUAUAAAAAGGGAGGAAGAUUUGUUAAAGCAAGUUAAGGACUCAUUCAGCAAUCAAAAGCAACAGCUUCUGGACUAUAUCACUCAAUCGCCAGCGUCAAAGAGGGUGCAGGGUUCACCAACCAUUCGCUCACCUGCAACUCCGGGAAGUAAUCCAUUUGCAGCAACUCCUGGGCGUAACCCGUUUACAUCAACUCCUGGAAGUCACCCGUUUGCUACAACUCCGGGAGGCAACCCAUUUGCAGCUACUACUCCUGGAGGUCACCCGAUUGCAGCAACUCCUGGAAGUCACCCGAUCGCAGCAACUCCUGGAAAUAUUUCGUUUGCAGUCAAGCCUCCCCACAUGCGCUGA
rnacentral:rRNA from 1 species